rnacentral:rRNA from 1 species
CCUACGGGUGGCUGCAGCAAGGAAUUUUCCGCAAUGGGCGAAAGCCUGACGGAGCAACGCCGCGUGGGGGAUGACACUUUUCGGAGCGUAAACCCCUUUUCUUGGGGAGGAAGACUGACCGUACCCGAGGAAGAAGGCCCGGCUAACUACGUGCCAGCAGCCGCGGUAAUACGUAGGGGUCGAGCGUUGUCCGGAAUUACUGGGCGUAAAGCGCGCGCAGGCGGCUGAUCAAGCCUGACGUGAAAGCCCCCGGCUCAACCGGGGAGGGUCGUCGGGGACUGGUUGGCUUGAGGGCGGUAGGGGCCGGUGGAAUUCCCGGUGUAGUGGUGAAAUGCGUAGAGAUCGGGAGGAACACCAGUGGCGAAGGCGGCCGGCUGGGCCGACCCUGACGCUGAGGCGCGAAGGCGUGGGGAGCGAACGGGAUUAGAUACCCUAGUAGUC